AGAGUUUGAUCCUGGCUCAGAAUCAACGCUGGCGGGGGGGACGCAUGCAAGUCGAACGCGAAAGGGGCUUCGGCCCUGAGUAGAGUGGCGAACGGGUGAGUAACACGUGGGUGAUCUACCUCUGAGUGGGGGAUAACCUUCCGAAAGGAGGGCUAAUACCGCAUGACGUCCCGGGUUUGAAGACCUGGACACCAAAGUCGGGGACCGCAAGGCCUGACGCUUGGAGAGGAGCCCGCGCCUGAUUAGCUAGUUGGUGAGGUAAUGGCUCACCAAGGCGACGAUCAGUAGCCGGCCUGAGAGGGCGGACGGCCACACUGGGACUGAGACACGGCCCAGACUCCUACGGGAGGCAGCAGUGGGGAAUUGUUCGCAAUGGGCGUUUUUCUGACGACGCAACGCCGCGUGGAGGAUGAAGGUCUUCGGAUUGUAAACUCCUGUUGACCGGGACGAAUGGGCUCCGACCUAACACGUUGGGGCAGUGACGGUACCGGUUGAGGAAGCCACGGCUAACUCUGUGCCAGCAGCCGCGGUAAUACAGAGGUGGCAAGCGUUGUUCGGAAUUACUGGGCGUAAAGGGCGCGUAGGCGGCCUUCUAAGUCAGACGUGAAAUCCCCAGGCUUAACUUGGGAACUGCGUCUGAUACUGGAUGGCUUGAGUGC
rnacentral:rRNA from 1 species